GCCGUGAGGUGUUGGGUUAAGUCCCGCAACGAGCGCAACCCUCACUCUAUGUUGCCAUCGGGUAAUGCCGGGCACUCUUAGGGAACCGCCGGCGAAGAGCUGGAGGAAGGGGGGGAUGACGUCAAGUCCGUAUGCCCCUUAUGUCCAGGGCUACACACAUGCUACAAUGGCCGAUACAGAGGGUUCCCAACCCGCGAGGGGGAGGCAAUCCCACAAAGUCGGUCUCAGUUCGGAUUGCAGGCUGCAACUCGCCUGCAUGAAGUCGGAAUCGCUAGUAAGCGCAGAUCAGCAGGCUGCGCUGAAUACGUUCCCGGGCCUUGUACACACCGCCCGUCACACCACGAAAGCCGGUUGUACCAGAAGUCGCUGAGCCAACCGCAAGGAAGCAGGCGCCGAAGGUAUGGUCGGUGAUUGGGGUGAAGUCGUAACAAGGUAGCCGUAGGGGAACCUGCGGCUGGAUCACCUCCUUAACGGAGCUGCGAGUAAGGCAGACUUGCCUGGGCAACCAGGGUUACCUGCCGGAAAGCACUCACGUGUCGCUCGUCUCGUAACAUCCAGAUCUCAACUCUCGAUUUCCAUAUAAAAGAGCCCGAACCAUCCGCGGCAACGCGGCAUGGUCCAGGCUCGAAAGUACAAGAGGGACUUGAAACUAAGUCCUUAAGCACCAAGCGACUGAGCGCUUAUAUCUCAACCGUUUUUUGACAAUGGAAAGUAGUAGUGAUCGUGGGAUUUGAGUAUCGGGAUUUGAUAAGAUCCUGGUACUGAGAAUCAACACUAGUGACACAAUUUCAAAAGAUGCUCUGGCUUGAAAGGGUCAGGGCUCGAUUUGUCUCAAAGAGCUUAACCGCUCCGAGAGUCCAAAGAUUGUAUCACUCGUUAGAUCGUGCGUGUUUCUGUUUGAACAAGUUAUUUGAUCAAGCGAAAGAAAGUAUGUAGGGGAUGCCUAGGUACACGGAGGCGAUGAAGGCCGUGGUAAGCUGCGAUAAGCCAGGGGGAGCGGCACACACGCUAUGAGCCCUGGAUGG
rnacentral:sRNA from 1 species